CAGGUGCAUUUUUAAGAGAAGGGAGGGUCACUCACGCUCACAACUCAAUAGUUAAUGGAGGUUACAGUUGUAUUGUAGUAUUCCCAUUAGAAAGGAAGAGAGACGAUGAAAUCCACCACAACCAAGUUUCUCCGAACACUGAUGAUGACCAGAAAUUCCAUCACUACCCGAAUCAGAUACAAAAUUGAGACUCAGAAUUUUACCACCGUCUCCACCAGCAAUGCUCAGUUGCCGAAGGAGAGGGUCGAUUGUGUGGUGAUAGGGGCUGGUGUGGUGGGAAUAGCAGUGGCCAGAGAGCUCGCUCUCAAGGGCAGACAAGUAUUCGUCAUCGAUUCUGCUUCCACUUUCGGCACCGGAACCAGUUCUCGCAACAGCGAAGUCAUCCACGCCGGCAUCUAUUACCCGCGCAAUUCUCUCAAGACACUUAUGUGUGUUAGAGGUAGAGAAUUGCUGUACAGGUAUUGCAAAGAGCAUGACAUUCCACAUAAGAAGAUUGGUAAGCUCAUAGUUGCUACUGGAUCUUCAGACAUUCCAAAGUUGAGUGCUCUAAUGAGUCGUGGGAUUGAAAAUGGGGUUAAUGAUCUGAGGAUGAUGGAGGAUCAUGAAGUCAUGAGAAUGGAACCAGAAUUACAGUGUAGGAAAGCUUUAUACUCUCCUGCUUCUGGAAUAAUUGAUACCCAUUCCCUAAUGCUCUCUUUAGCGGGGGAAGCUGAAAGUCAUGGAACAACUUUCUCUUACAACACUACUGUCGUCGGUGGUCAUCUUGAAGGAAAUAAUAAUAUUUGCCUUCAUAUUGCUGAAAGGAAGGAUCUUGAAAACUGGGAUGGGAGGUUUCCAUUGCAUCCCGAGCUUAUACUUAUUCCUAAUCUAGUAGUGAACUCUGCAGGCUUGAGUGCACAAGCCCUUGCAAAGCGAUUCAAGGGCGUAGAUAGUGGAAUUAUUCCUGCAUCAUGUUAUGCUCGUGGUUGCUACUUCACCCUGUCUAACAUCAAGAUUCCACCUUUCAAACAUUUGAUUUAUCCUAUACCUGAGGAUGGUGGCCUUGGAGUGCAUGUUACACUGGACUUAAACGGCCAAGUAAAGUUCGGCCCUGAUGUUGAAUGGAUUGAUGGUGUAGAUGACGUUUCAAGCUUCCUGAACAAGAGCCUUCAGCCUUGGCUAAAAUCAUGUGACUUGACAUGCCAUCUCACUCCUUGUUGCAAGCGCCGAGCUUGUCCUUGCUGCACCUUGCAACCUUUUGGUGGUUAAAUGUGCCUUUAACAACUAUGGUAGUGUGGUGUUACUUAACUUGAUCCGGUGAUAAGUAGCAUAUGGAUCCAAAUCCGGCUUGGAAGCAACCACAUUUCUAUGAUGCUGUGCAACCUUGAGGAUCACAUGCAUGAGACAUUCAUUUUUGCUUAUGAAUUGCUAUAAUGGGCAUUUUUUUUUGUGGUGUGUUAUUGCAUUUACUAAAAGGGUCAUGUUAACUAGGUGUCAGAUUCAAAGUAAAAAAUGACUUGCAGCUACUUUAUUAGUCAUUACCUUUAGAGAAUCCAAGUGGUCAACCUCGUUUGUCCAGAUAAAGGCAAGGAUGAUGAUGACGACGACGACGAUGACAUUUAGAUGAAUUAUUGAGGUCUGAUUAUUUAAGAUAAUUUUUCUGGGUAUUGAUAUAAAACCAUGAAUUCAACCCCAUGGUUGAGUCAAGUUACGGUCUUUUUUAAGUUUUUCAAAUUUUGAGUUUUUGUAAAGGUGCACCACAUAUUAGGGUUCUAAUUAUAAGUCAAGUUCCUUAUGUGUACUUGUAAUAAUUUUCUCGAUUUUAAAUCUCUUAUUCUCUUUUAGCAGUUAGUUUACUAGUUUUAUUUUUUGUUUCCAUUCAACUUCUAUGUCCCAUAAAAAUGAAAUCCUUUCAUUUUGUUUUCCAUAGCAUUUCACUGUGAAAUUCAUCCUUCACAAAUGAGUCAGUAGACUUGUUACAAGACAAAAUUUGGGUCACUGUCGAAGCUCAGGUAUUCAUGAAACAUGGUAAGAAAAAAUGCAAUGUUUCAAUAUCUGAAACUCUAUAGUAAGACCCAUAUUCUACUGCGGUGAAAAGCAUUAUGGGCCUUUUUUUCGGUUUCUGUCGUAACAACAGAAUGUUUCAGACUUUUAUUGGAUAUCCACACUUAUUAGGGGCCCGUUUACUAACGCUUUCACUUUCUUACUUUUACUUUCUGCAAAAGUAAAAUUAUAAUUUUGAUUUCUUGAAGUGAAAUAGAAAGUGAAAUAAUGUUCAAUAAUUUUUUUUUUUACUUUCAAUGUUUUGAAAGCAAAAAAAUAGGAAGUAAGUUUAUUAAAUUUUAAUUUUAAUUUUGCUUUCCAGAUCUUGUGUGUAAGAGAUGGGUAACAUGCUUCUUGUGUGUCUGAUAUCAAUACACACAAAUGAUUACAAACACACACACACACACACACACACACACACACACAUAUAUAUAUAUAGAAAAAGUAUAGAGAGAGAUUGAAACCAGAGCCUCAAAUCGUUCUCAACUUCGAGUCCACCGGCGAUUGCGGAUUUUAUCGUCAAUUCCGGCAGCUCUGAUAGUUUUCUUACUUGGGUUGAUCUUGUGUUUUGUUAGAAAUCCUUCCAUUAUUCAGGACCUCCAAUUGGGUCCAUCCAAGUUCCAUAUUGUGAAAAUUACAUGGGAGGAUUGGAAAAUUGGGUUUCUUCGAGCUGCAAUACCUCAAAUUCCGCUAUCUAUACUGAAUUUUGUGAUUGCAGUAAGUUAUCGGCGGAUUUGUUUCUGGACGGGGAAGUGUUAGCUACGGCGGUGUCCGUGAGUGUUGGAGCUAUGAAUUUAGUUGGGUGCUGGUUCGGGGCUAUGCCGGUAUGCCAUGGUGCCGAAGGGUUAGCAUUAACUGUUUCUGGAAACCCGAGCCUCAAACUUGGGUCUCCUUCUCCGAUGCCAGAAUUCACGAACAAACUGACUGGGAAUAAAACUUUGGAGUAUGAAUUGCUUGUGGAUGCGAAUUUGGGUCUCCUGGCCUCUCCGAUGCCCAAUUGCCGGAUUCCUUGCUCACAUCGUCACAGUCUCGUCGUCGUUCGGUCCACCAAUAAGUUCAGUCCUGCCUCAUCUUGGAGAAACUGCUCGCCGCCACUGUUCAUCUACUUUCAGCCAAGUGGGCUUAGGUUAAACCAGUAGAGAGAGAAGCUAGAGAGAGAGUGAUGAUGGGGUUUCUACUUGCUCUUUCAAAACGAUGAAGCCUGAAGGGGUUUCAGUUUUCAAUGGCUAAUCGACGGUGCUUGGUAGCAGUUUGUGGUGGUAGAGAGAAGAAGAAGAGAGAAGACAGAUGGUGAUGGUGAUGGUGAUGAUACGGGUGAUAUGGGUGAGCAGUUCCGCUACAGUAGCGGAAGUAAUUCCUCCGCUACAGUGGAGAAAACAAGAAAGUUUGAUUAUUCUGUAAGUGCGGAUCGUGCAAAGCAAUUUUAUCCACAGAUAAAAAAGUACUACCCUAGUCUGAAGGAGGGAUCCCUGGAGCCCGGUUAUGCUGGCAUCC